rnacentral:rRNA from 1 species
UACGUAGGGUGCGAGCGUUUAAUCGGAAUUACUGGGCGUAAAGGGCGCGUAGGCGGCCCUCCUUGUCGCGUGUGAAAGCCCCGGGCUCAGCCUGGGAAUGGCGCGCGAAACGGGCGGGCUUGAGUUCGGGAGAGGAGCGUGGAAUUCCCAGUGUAGAGGUGAAAUUCGUGAGAUAUUGGGAAGAACACCGGUGGCGAAGGCG